AGCGUAACGCUGUUGGAGAUGAGAGGGCACAGCACAAUUUUGAGAGCCAAACAAAGGCGGGGCACAGAGCUGUUGCCUCGAGAUGUGUGGCCUCAGAAGGUCUUGUCGAGGCGAGUGAUGAAAGGGAGGAGGUUCCCGAGGAUACUGGAGCCGGAAGACGCGGCGAGGGUCCGGGUUAGCAAACCGGGCAGAGUCAGAGGCCCAGGACGCCGGGCCCUGGGGGCGCUGUCGCAGGGCGGCGGCGGAGGCCGGGGUGGUGGGCGCCCCGGGGUGGGGGGAGGCGGGAGUGCUCUCCCAGGUGGGCUUGGAGGGGCCCCGGCCCAGACACCCAGGGCCAGCCGGCGCACCCGCAUGAUGUUCUGAAAGCGUCCCCGCAGCCUGGUCGGUGGCUGGGGGAAGCUGGGCGUGGUUAGCCUGGCAGCCUGGCUUUGCGGACUCACCUCCGGGCCUCGUCCUCCAGUGCCUUCCCUCCCCAACUGAGGGGCUUGGCUGCACCCGCACGCGGUUUUCCAGGAACAGCGAUCCCGGAGUGGACUCUCCCGCAUCCAGGGGGACGUCAGCACUCUCGGCUUCCCCAUGGGGACACACUCACUGAGGUCACGCGACCCAAAACCAAAUGACCCACCACCACGACAGCCGCAUCGUUUUUAGUGGUUUGUCCGGGAGGUUUUAGAGUGAGAGAAUGAAGGGGGUGAGGCCUGAGGGAGGGAGGCGCAUGGAAGCCGCCGCAUCUGACUGUCCCAGGGUGUGCCCAGGCCCAGAGAUGAUGUCCAGACCCCUGAAGGGAGUGAAGCGGAGGCCCUGCUGGAGGCAAAGGAUUCAAGGAGAUUCAAAACCCGUGUCACUGCUGCCAUCUUCCUAGAAUCCCUUUAAAUCCUCAUGGAUUUGCUGACAUUGGGAGCAUCCUGAAAGAGUCCCCAUGCUAGGGUGGCUGCAGUAACAGGUACAAUGAGAAAUGAUGGUUCUCCCCACUCCAGAAAAAAUCAAAUCAGAUUGUGAAUUUAUUCCCUGACAUUAACACACGGCAUUACAGGAGCAUGUACAUCACAUGGUCAAUUUAUUGGCAUGAGGAUUAUGUCAUCGGGGAAUAAAUGGGAAAUUCUCAAGGUGGCCCAGGCCUGUAGGCUUCCAGUGAGAAAACUGGAGACCACACUCACCCGUCCCACUGCCGUUUCUUUGGGGCUGCCUGUGAUACUGGGUUAUUCCCCUUGCCGAGUUCCACUGUGCUUACCCUGUUGGAAUAUGAUGGUGGACUUGCCAGAGGAGAUGACCAUGAUUUUCAGGAACAGCAGCCCCUCCUUCCUGGUUGAGGCAGCCAGCAGGCACUCCUAUCCAUGAGCCACAGCUCAGCUAAGGCAAUCCAGUCCAGCUGCAUGCCCUCUCUCUGCUUCUGGGGAGGUAGGAAGGACCAGGGGCAUUCAUGCUUGUUUCUAGGGGGCCCUAACUGGAUCUCUGGAUCAAGACCUACUCAGGGGAGAAAGACUACUCUGGGUUCCAUGUUAGGACUGACGGGUGCAUCUUAACUGAGAUGCAGACAGUGGACAAUUCGAACUCUGACCUGAGAGCAAGCCCCAGCCUUGGUGCUCAUAAAUGCUCCGCUUGGUCCUUCACAUUUGUGUUCCACACAGGAGAAGCCAAGUUGUGAGCAGUGCACCUUCACAAGCAAAGCCUCGACUGAAAUCUUCUCUAACAAUUGGCUGGUCACUCCUGAGCGUAAUCUACCCCUUCAGAACACUGGGGAUGAAUUUAGAGACAUCGAAGCCUCCUGAUGAGAAAUACGUGUCCACUCACCGGGAGAACUGAAAUACCAGGAGAUUUCUACACAAAUCUCACAGAGUCCUUCUGGCGUCCUAGGGGUUUGCUCACAUAUAAGGGACUUUCUGGUAGGAAGAGAGUCUCUUUACAUUCUUUAUUAUAUGAUCCUGGUGGCUUUGUAGAGAGAUGGUACAGCUGACAGAUCAUGUCCUGUGGGGCCAGGGAGUUGUGUGUGUGUGAAUGCUCUGUGAACUUGGGCAAACUACUUAGCCUCUCUGAGCCUUAGCUGCAUCAGCUUUGAAAAACAGGAUGAUAAAAUGGAGUCACCUUAUUUGACUUUUAUAAAUACACUUACACAAUUACACAAGUUGUGGGGAUGGGAAGAGAGAGUUGGGGAAAGAGAAAUGAGAGAGAGAGAGAGAGAGAAUGAAUGAUAAACAAUUUAAACAACAGUGGGGUGUAGACCAACGCCCAGCCUGGCAAGGGUGAGCCCAGAGAGCCUUCCCUCCUGGCUAUUGGCAGCCUCCGCAUGGAAGCCUGUCGUUGACUUCUUAAUGAUGAGAGAUGUUCUGGGGGCACUCCAGGAUUCUUGGACAUGGGAUCGUCUUCACAGCUGUGUCUAUUGAAAGCUGAAGUUUCAGUCUCCCCUGCCCCCUGCCCCCUGGAGUGGCUUCCCAGGGGAAAUUCAAGGGCACCUGUGACUGCAUGGCUGCUUUCCUUUCCUUUACUCAAUGCCGUCCUUUGGUGACAGCCGUGUCUCAUGCCAGGAUACAUGAGGUGCUCUAUAGUAGUAUGUUUUCCCUCCUGGGAGGUAAUUUUAUUUAAAUGUGAAGUCAAAAGGAUCACUAAAUAGAACCAUGAGGCAACCACUCUGGGCACCUGCCUGGUGAUAUCCACAAGAGCUGACCACAGGUGCCCCCUGUGCCCAGCAAGUCCUUGGCUGGGCAGUCACACAACAGGCAUGGGGAUGUGUGGCCACCAAGCCCUCCAGGGCAGUGCUAUUUGUAAUAGUCCCAAAUGGGAGAGAUGGCAAACGCCCGCCAAUGGGGCAGCAUGGAUAAAUGGAUGCUGCACAGCAACGGCGAUGAGUGAGCCCCAGCACCCGUGAGCUCACCAGUGUAAUAUUGGGUGGAAGAAGCCAGGAGGAAGGGCAUUCACAUUCUGUGAUUCCAGCUACACUAUGUUUAAAUAUGGGCAGAGCUAGGCUGUGGUGCUGGAAGCCAGGACAGUGGGAUCCUUGCAUGGGGGUGAUGGUGCUGGUAGGUUCUGGUAAUUUCCUCUUCUUGAUCUGGGUGUAAACAUUUUGUGAAAAUUCAAUGAGCUGUACAUUUAUGACUGGUACAUUUAUGACUUUGUAUGAAUAUUAUACUUUCAUAAAACUACUUUAAAAUAUGA
rnacentral:lncRNA from 1 species